rnacentral:tRNA from 1 species
GUUGUAGCUCAGUGGUAGAGUGCAUGCCUAGCAUGUGUGAGGCACUGGGUUCAAUUCUCAUCACAACA